rnacentral:lncRNA from 1 species
AAGAAUGGUUCUUGAACUUGUGCUUGGAGGUUGGGUUUUAUUAUUUUUUUCAAUUUUUAUGGUGGUUAGAAGGGUAUAUGGUUGAGGGGUCAUGUGGGAAUUUUAAGGAUUGUGGUUGUUGUUGGAGGUCGUUUAGGAGGAGGAUGGGUAGUGGUGGAGUUGCUGCUGAGUGAGGUAAGAGAAGGAAGAAUGACGGAGGUCGUAGGGGUUGUCAUUAUUGCAGACUCGUUUGGGUAUAAAGUGGUGGAGUUAGUGGGAAUGAUGGUGUUGGACAUGAAAUAACUAUUUU